UCUCUUGGUCCGAUGUAAAUACUGAAUCUGUGUCGCUGUGAUGUAAAACCAAUAUCAAACCAGAGUCUGAGCCUUUUGUCACAGAAAAAAGGUUUAUUUAAAAAUAAAGUUAUAUCCCUCUUACACGUCAAGGACCGUGAAAACAAAACAAAAAUGUAAUUGCGUUAUUCACCUUUCGCCGCUUGGACCACAAUCAUCACCUCUCUGGUGAUUCAGACACUGGAUGCUAA